rnacentral:rRNA from 1 species
GUGAGGAAUAUUGCGCAAUGGAGGCAACUCUGACGCAGCCAUGCCGCGUGCAGGAAGAAGGCGCUACGCGUUGUAAACUGCUUUUAACCGGGAAGAAACCCCAGGACGUGUCCUGGGUUGACGGUACCGGAGGAAUAAGCACCGGCUAACUUCGUGCCAGCAGCCGCGGUAAUACGAAGGGUGCAAGCGUUAUCCGGAUUCAUUGGAUUUAAAGGGUGCGUAGGCGGAGCGUUAAGUCAGUGGUGAAAUCCUGCAGCUUAACUGUAGACUUGCCAUUGAUACUGGCGCUCUUGAGUGCGCUUGAAGUGGGCGGAAUGUGCCGUGUAGCGGUGAAAUGCUUAGAUAUGGCACAGAACACCAAUUGCGAAGGCAGCUCACUAAGGCGAUACUGACGCUGAGGCACGAAAGCGUGGGGAUCGAACAGGAUUAGAAACCCGUGUAGUCC